rnacentral:snoRNA from 1 species
GGUAGUGACAAUAAGGAAUUGUCGCCCCAGUCUUAUUUGCAUUCAUUUCGGUGGAUGUAAUGUGUUGAUUGACUAGUUUUUCUCUUCUGAUCC